CGCCAGACUCCUACGGGAGGCAGCAGUGGGGAAUAUUGCACAAUGGGGGAAACCCUGAUGCAGCGACGCCGCGUGAGUGAAGAAGUAUUUCGGUAUGUAAAGCUCUAUCAGCAGGGAAGAAAAUGACGGUACCUGACUAAGAAGCCCCGGCUAACUACGUGCCAGCAGCCGCGGUAAUACGUAGGGGGCAAGCGUUAUCCGGAUUUACUGGGUGUAAAGGGAGCGUAGACGGCAUGGCAAGUCAGAUGUGAAAGCCCGGGGCUCAACCCCGGGACUGCAUUUGAAACUGUCAGGCUGGAGUGCAGGAGAGGUAAGUGGAAUUCCUAGUGUAGCGGUGAAAUGCGUAGAUAUUAGGAGGAACACCAGUGGCGAAGGCGGCUUACUGGACUGUAACUGACGUUGAGGCUCGAAAGCGUGGGGAGCAAACAGGAUUAGAUACCCCCGUAA
rnacentral:rRNA from 1 species